AUUUAAUUCAAUAGAAAACAGAUUGGUAUUGUGAAGUACAAAUUCACAGCGUAAAAUGACUAAUCAGUAAUCAUGUACCACCUUCUGUACUCAGUUACAACAAAGCCAUACAGUAUGGUAGUCUAGUGCUUCAUAUAUACUAAACAGUAAGUACUGUAUGUGUAGGGUAUAAGAAACACUAGAGCACCAUAUUCUAUACAAAAUAUUUCAAGACAACUGAACAGUUGGAAGAUUUAUGAACAUUGCAGCAAUAUCACUUACAGUGGUAACUACUGUAUCACUGAAUGAAAAUACAAGCCCCCAGAUCUCCCCCAAAACCAAUUAAAUAGAAACAAAUCAUUUAGAAAAAUCUAUCCAGAGUACACCGGAACAAGUACAACUGAAAAUCAUGCAUUACAAAAUCAUUUAAACAACUUUUAAGGCAUAGUGAUUAAGACCUUCACAAGCUUCUCUGAGUAUUAAUUGUAAGGACUGCAUAGAAGUUGUGCACAGAUGCUACAAAUACAAUGUGUAAAGUGUGUGUGUGAAGAAAUGGUGAGAGAGGAUUGGUAUCAGAGCAAACUCCAUACAUGCAUCUGUAGUGGCAGGCAGUCAAGUAGUAGAACAUACAGCAGAAUAGGAAUCAAACUGUCAGAUAUGGUUUGUAAAGCAAUGUUAACUAUGAUACCACGUUCAGCAGAAUAUUGUUGAUUUCAUGAAUUAGAAAAACUAUCCACAUUUGUUCAUCAUUCUCAUAUAUCUGGCAGCAUUUGGUCCAACCGUGUUUUAAAAAGUACACUUGCAUAUCAGAUCUCCAUGAAGGACUGGAUGGAAGUGUUUGCUGUGCAUCAGGUCUGUGUGACAGGGCACCAGUAGGAUCAGAUGAAACACUGUUCACCCUGUGAAAGCAGACAUUAACCAGCUACAGUGUUAAAGUCACAGUACAUGUUGGUGUGGUUGCUUCUAUCACUAUUCAGUCAGUGUAAUCAUGUGACCAAACUCCUUUUCACUAAGAGUAAUAGAGUAUUGAAAAGAACCAUAAUAAGGACCGUAUUAAACAGUACCACAGAGUACUGAAGAGUACCACAGCGAAAUUCUGUGUAUUAAAGAGCACCACACUAAUUACAGUAUCAUAGCAUACCAUAGAGUACCACAGAGUAAUGAUGAAAUUGAAGAGUGCAACAGUGUAUUGCUGGUAAGUCCUGUAAGUCAUUGUAAGUGCUUUAGACAGUGAGUCAUCCUGCCUGUUCUUCUCAGGGGUAGAAUGUGUUAGUGUUCUGUUACUGUAUUCAUGUUUGUCUUGUAUUCCUCCUGGACAUCGGAGCUUAUUCACCCCCACAAUCCUCCUCUUCAGUACGACUAGGAGUCUACUGUCCAGCGCAGUGAGUCAUCCUCCUCAUCCUCUCCUUCUCCCUGAACCUGUGAUCCCUCUCUUUUUCUCUCUCCCUCCCUGAACCUGUGAUCCCUCCUUUAUACAGUGUUUUUAUAGCAGGUCUAUAGACCUAUCCCAGUGUACUGUACCUGUGUGUACAGUAGAUGUCUAUCUGAAGUACUUAGAAUAACCCCCUCCCUCCAACCCUGUAGUGCUUAAAAUAUACCCUUUAAUCCACCUUCCUCCAUACCUCUAUCCUCCUCCUUCUCCCUUUCUCUAUAGUGCUCAGAAUAGCCCUUGUUCUCCUCCUCCUACCACUACACUGAAGGUUGCCACUACCCGUCCCUCCCUCCCUCCCUCUAGCAGGAACUGGUGUGAAG
ensembl:lncRNA